CCUACGGGUGGCAGCAGUGAGGAAUAUUGGUCAAUGGUCGGGAGACUGAACCAGCCAAGCCGCGUGAGGGAUGAAGGUACAGAGUAUCGUAAACCUCUUUUGUCAGGGAACAAAGGCGGGGACGCGUCCCCGGAUGAGUGUACCUGAAGAAAAAGCAUCGGCUAACUCCGUGCCAGCAGCCGCGGUAAUACGGAGGAUGCGAGCGUUAUCCGGCUGUAUUGGGUGUAAGGGGUGCGCAGGCGGUCUGUUAAGUCAGCGGGCAAAGCCCGGGGCUCAACCCCGGCCCGCCGUUGAAACUGGCAGUCUCGAGUUGGAGAGAAGUAUGCGGAAUGCGCGGUGUAGCGGUGAAAUGCAUAGAUAUCGCGCAGAACUCCGAUUGCGAAGGCAGCAUGCCGGCUCCACACUGACGCUGAGGCACGAAAGCGUGGGUAUCGAACAGGAUUAGAUACCCCUGUAGUC
rnacentral:rRNA from 1 species